UGGGGAAUAUUGCACAAUGGGCGCAAGCCUGAUGCAGCAACGCCGCGUGGAUGAGGAAGGCCUUCGGGUCGUAAAAUCCUGUCCUAAGGGAAGAAAAAAAUGACGGUACCUUAGGAGGAAGCCCCGGCAAACUACGUGCCAGCAGCCGCGGUAAUACGUAGGGGGCAAGCGUUAUCCGGAAUCACUGGGCGUAAAGGGUGCGUAGGCGGCAAAGCAAGCCAGAGGUGAAAGGCAUUGGCUCAACCAAUGUAAGCCUUUGGAACUGCUUAGCUUGAGUGCAGGAGAGGUAAGUGGAAUUCCUAGUGUAGCGGUGAAAUGCGUAGAUAUUAGGAGGAACACCAGUGGCGAAGGCGACUUACUGGACUGUAACUGACGCUGAGGCACGAAAGCGUGGGGAGCG
rnacentral:rRNA from 1 species